CAGUCGCCGCGGGAAUACGUAGGUGGCGAGCGUUAAUCGGAAUUACUGGGCGUAAAGCGUGCGCAGGCGGUUGUGUAAGACAGGUGUGAAAUCCCCGGGCUUAACCUGGGAACUGCGCUUGUGACUGCACAGCUAGAGUAUGGCAGAGGGGGGUGGAAUUCCACGUGUAGCAGUGAAAUGCGUAGAGAUGUGGAGGAACACCGAUGGCGAAGGCAGCCCCCUGGGCCAAUACUGACGCUCACGCACGAAAGCGUGGGGAGCAAACAGGAUUAGAUACCCCCGUAGUCCCUGUCUCUUAUAC
rnacentral:rRNA from 1 species